rnacentral:rRNA from 1 species
GAACUAAUUCUAGCCCUAUUACCAAAUAACAUAACUAAACUAUUGUAUAAACUAAAACAUUUAACCCAAAAAGUAUUGGAGAAAGAAAUUUACCUUAUUAGGAGCUAUAGAGAAAGUACCGUAAGGGAAUGAUGAAAGAUCAAUUUAAAGUAACAAAAAGCAAAGAUUAAACCUUGUACCUUUUGCAUAAUGAGUUAACUAGAAAAAACUUAACAAAAAGAAUUUAAGCUAAGAACCCCGAAACCAAACGAGCUACCUAAAAACAAUUUUAUGAAUGAACCCGUCUAUGUAGCAAAAUAGUGGGAAGAUUUUUAGGUAGAGGUGAAAAGCCUAUCGAGCUUGGUGAUAGCUGGUUGCCCAAAAAAGAAUUUCAGUUCAACUUUAAGCUUACCCUAAGAACACUAAAUCAAAAUGUAAACUUAAAAUAUAACCAAAAGAGGGACAGCUCUUUAGGUAAAGGAAAAAACCUUAAAUAGUGAAUAAAUAACUAAUAAUUAAUUCAACCAUUGUAGGCUUAAAAGCAGCCAUCAAUAAAGAAAGCGUUCAAGCUCAACAUGCCUGUAUAUACUAAUUCCAUAAACCUCAAUAAAUUCCUAUAAAAUUAAUUGGGCCAAUCUAUAAAUCCAUAGAUGAAAUACUGUUAAUAUGAGUAACAAGAACUUAUUCUCCUAGCACUAGUGUAUGACAACCCGGAUAACCAUUGUCAAUUACCGAACUUUAGGUAUUAAACCCAUAAUAAAACUACCUAAUUUCAACUCGUUAACCCAACACAGGUGUGCCCUAAGGAAAGAUUAAAAAAAGUAAAAGGAACUCGGCAAUCACGAACCCCGCCUGUUUACCAAAAACAUCACCUCUAGCAUAACAAGUAUUAGAGGCAUUGCCUGCCCAGUGACUAAAGUUUAACGGCCGCGGUAUCCUGACCGUGCAAAGGUAGCAUAAUCACUUGUUCCUUAAUUAGGGACUAGAAUGAAUGGCUAAACGAGGGUUCAACUGUCUCUUACUUUCAAUCAGUGAAAUUGACUUUCCAGUGAAGAGGCUGGAAUAUUAAAAUAAGACGAGAAGACCCUAUGGAGCUUUAAUUUACUAGUUUAAUUUAUAUAAAGACAACCUAAUGGCCUAAAACAAAAUAAAUAUAAACUAAAAAAUUUCGGUUGGGGUGACCUCGGAGAAUAAAAAAUCCUCCGAAUGAUUUUAACUUAGACCUACAAGUCAAAGUAAUACUAAUAUCUCAUUGACCCAAUUAUUGAUCAACGGACCAAGUUACCCUAGGGAUAACAGCGCAAUCCUAUUUAAGAGUCCAUAUCGACAAUUAGGGUUUACGACCUCGAUGUUGGAUCAGGACAUCCCAAUGGUGCAGAAGCUAUUAAUGGUUCGUUUGUUCAACGAUUAAAGUCCUACGUGAUCUGAGUUCAGACCGGAGCAAUCCAGGUCGGUUUCUAUCUAUUUACAAUUUCUCCCAGUACGAAAGGACAAGAGAAAUGGAGCCACCUUACCACAAGUGCCCCAAAUAAAUUUAUGAAAAAAAUCUUAACAAAAUAUAUAUGUACAAAAAUAAACCUAGAUCAGGUUAU